GUGCCAGCCGCCGCGGUAAUACGAAGGGGGUUAGCGUUGCUCGGAAUCACUGGGCGUAAAGCUCACGUAGGCGGAUUGUUAAGUCAGGGGUGAAAUCCUGGAGCUCAACUCCAGAACUGCCUUUGAUACCGGCAAUCUCGAGUCCGGGAGAGGUGAGUGGAACUGCGAGUGUAGAGGUGAAAUUCGUAGAUAUUCGCAAGAACACCAGUGGCGAAGGCGGCUCACUGGCCCGAUACUGACGCUGAGGCACGAAAGCGUGGGGAGCAAACAGGAUUAGAUACCCUAGUAGUCC
rnacentral:rRNA from 1 species